CUUCAACAUGGUGGAGAGGUUGAGGUCAGGAUGGCUCUUCAACAUGGUGGAGAGGUUGAGGUCAGGAUGGUUCUUCAACAUGGUGGAGAGGUAGAGGUCAGGAUGGUUCUUCAACAUGGUGGAGAGGUUGAGGUCAGGAUGGCUCUUCAAC